UGUCCAUGUUUGUGAAGGGAGAUCAUGGAGGUGAGGAGGGGUGUCCAUGUUUGUGAGGAGGGAUCAUGGAGGUGAGGAGUGUCCAUGUUUGUGAGGGGAGAUCAUGGAGGUGAGGAGGGGUGUCCAUGUUUGAGGGGAGAUCAUGGAGGUGAUGAGGGGUGUCCAUGUUUGUGAGGGGGGAUCAUGGAGGAGGAGAUGAGGGGUGUCCAUGUUUGUGAGGAGCAGCUGUGAGGGGAGAUCAUGGAGGAGAUGAGGGGUGUUCAUGAGAAGAGAUCAUGAGGAAGAUGAGAAGAUCACUGUGGACAUGAGGAGCCUCCGUGGUUGUGAGGGGCAGCCAUGAGGCAGGAUCUUGGGUGGGAUAAGGGGCGACCAUGGAGGAAGAUGAGGGGCGACCAUGGAGGAAGAUGAGGGGAGACCAUGGAGGAAGAUGAGGGGCAGCCCCUGCUGCUGUUUUGGAAUAUUUUUUCUCAGGUGUGGCGGCAGAACCAGCUGCCUCUCAAGCACGUAAUGAGCUGACUGAAAAAACCAAGCCUGAGGAGCUUGGGAGGAAAUUUAGGAGCACUGGAAAUAGAAGAUUUUGGCUCCUGCUUGGAUGCAUUGGAGAAGGUAUUUGAUUUUAGAAAUU